rnacentral:rRNA from 1 species
UACGGGGGGGGCAAGCGUUGUUCGGAAUUACUGGGCGUAAAGGGCUCGUAGGCGGCCAACUAAGUCGGACGUGAAAUCCCCAGGCUCAACCUGGGAACUGCGUCCGAUACUGGAUGGCUUGAAUCCGGGAGAGGGAUGCAGAAUUCCAGGUGUAGCGGUGAAAUGCGCAGAUAUCGGGAGGAACACCGGUGGCGAAGGCGGUUCUCUGGGCCUGACCUGACGCUGAGGAGCGAAAGCGUGGGGAGCGAACAGG